UUUCCUGGGGAAGGCUCGUCCUCCCAGGGUUAGUCGGGACCUAAGGCGAGGCCGAUAGGCGUAGUCGAUGGACAACAGGUUGAUAUUCCUGUACUUCUAUAAAUCGUUUGAGCAAUGGAGGGACGCAGGAGGCUAAGAAAAGCGUACGACUGGAAGUGUACGCCCAAGCAGUGAGUCGGCUGAUGAGUCAAAUGCUUAUCACGGAUGCGACAAGCUGUAACGGGGAGGGAAGUUUAGUACCGAAGUUUCUGAUGUCACACUGCCGAGAAAAGCUUCUAGCAAGAUUUAUAGGACCCGUACCGCAAACCGACACAGGUAGUUGAGGAGAGAAUCCUAAGGUGAGCGAGCGAACUCUCGUUAAGGAACUCGGCAAAAUGACCCCGUAACUUCGGGAGAAGGGGUGCUGACAGAGAUGUCAGCCGCAGUGAAUAGGCCCAGGCGACUGUUUAUCAAAAACACAGGUCUCUGCAAAAUCGAAAGAUGACGUAUAGGGGCUGACGCCUGCCCGGUGCUGGAAGGUUAAGAGGAGAGGUUAGUCCUUUAGGGCGAAGCUUUGAAUUGAAGCCCCAGUAAACGGCGGCCGUAACUAUAACGGUCCUAAGGUAGCGAAAUUCCUUGUCGGGUAAGUUCCGACCCGCACGAAAGGCGUAACGAUUUGGGCACUGUCUCAACGAUGGACUCGGUGAAAUCAUAGUACCUGUGAAGAUGCAGGUUACCCGCGACAGGACGGAAAGACCCCAUGGAGCUUUACUGUAGUUUGAUAUUGAGUGUUUGUGUGACAUGUACAGGAUAGGUAGGAGCCGAAGAGAUGGGAACGCCAGUUUCCAAGGAGGCAAUGGUGGGAUACUACCCUUGUUACAUGAACCCUCUAACCCGCACCUAGAAACAAGGUGGGAGACAGUGUCAGACGGGCAGUUUGACUGGGGCGGUCGCCUCCUAAAAUGUAACGGAGGCGCCCAAAGGUUCCCUCAGAAUGGUUGGAAAUCAUUCGUAGAGUGUAAAGGCAGAAGGGAGCUUGACUGCGAGACCUACAAGUCGAGCAGGGACGAAAGUCGGGCUUAGUGAUCCGGUGGUUCCGCAUGGAAGGGCCAUCGCUCAACGGAUAAAAGCUACCCUGGGGAUAACAGGCUUAUC
rnacentral:rRNA from 1 species